UGGGGGAUGGUGUAAUGGUAGCACACGGGACUCUGGAUCCCUUGGUGAAGGUUCGAAUCCUUCUCCCCCAGCCA
rnacentral:tRNA from 2 species